ACGGAGGGUGCAAGCGUUGUCCGGAUUUAUUGGGUUUAAAGGGUGCGUAGGCGGCUUUUUAAGUCAGUGGUGAAAUCCAGCAGCUUAACUGUUGAAUUGCCAUUGAUACUGGAGAGCUUGAGUACAGACGAGGUAGGCGGAAUUUAUGGUGUAGCGGUGAAAUGCAUAGAUACCAUAAAGAACACCGAUUGCGAAGGCAGCUUACUAGGCUGUAACUGACGCUGAGGCACGAAAGUGUGGGGAUCAAACAGGA
rnacentral:rRNA from 1 species